ACCGCAAUAUGUUACAAUAUAGUGGCCAUCUUUGGACGCACAGUUCGCUUGUUUUUCUUACGCGCUGCCGGCUGAGUUCAACUGAAUUUAGUUGGUUGAAGGAGUGUACAGCUCCAGGAGUAUUAAAUAUUUGAUAACAAUACGGAACAACCGGAACCUCGGCAGAAAGCUCUGAAAUAGCUAGCUGUUUUGAGGGAGAACAACCGAUCGGCUCUAGGAUUUGGAUCAGGUGCUUCCAGUCAGAAAACAGGAAUGGUAGAUGGCAGCAAUACCAACGAUAGCGAUGCGGAAGAAAUGACCAGCAGAGCACUUCCUCCGAGUCUGUCCGAUUCGAAAAAUUCAGUAGAAACCCGACACUGAAAAAAGAGAGCAGUGGGCGCAGGAUCAGGUACAUUCAUCGGGGAAAAGGCAGUAGCGCUUAUCCGGAGUGGUGGCAGCAGUGACCGACUGAAUACCUGAGAACCAUUUAA